CCCAGGUCUGAGAUUCCAAAUGAAAAUGCUCCCAUCUCCGCUAGCACACUAUAGUUACCAUGAGAUGCCCAGGUCUGAGAUUCCAAACGAAAAUGCUCCCAUCUCCGCUAGCACACUAUAGUUACCAUGAGAUGCCCAGGUCUGAGAUUCCAAACGAAAAUGCUCCCAUCUCCGCUAGCACACUAUAGUUACCAUGAGAUGCCCAGGUCUGAGAUUCCAAACGAAAAAGCUCCCAUCUCCUCUAGCACACUAUAGUUACCAUGAGAUGCCCAGGUCUGAGAUUCCAAAUGAAAAAGCUCCCAUCUCCUCUAGCACACUAUAGUUACCAUGAGAUGCCCAAGUCUGAGAUUCCAAACGAAAAAGCUCCCAUCUCCUCUAGCACACUAUAGUUACCAUGAGAUGCCCAGGUCUGAGAUUCCAAACGAAAAAGCUCCCAUCU